UGUUCAUGCUUGGUUUCUGUAGCAAGUUACUAACCGGUUCUUUCGAUUCUUUGGACAGCUUGAUCUGAACGAGCAGUCAGUUCCAGAGUCAGUAUCUGAACUAAAUAGCUUCGCUCAAAUGGCCCUGGAACUAGAUGUUAAAGAGAUGAGCAUGGCUGAGCUAACCCGCUUCGAGGAAAUUGUUAGAGAAGCAUUGGCAGCUGUUAAGAGCAUCCGUAUUAUGAAGGUGGCUGAGCUCACCCAAACUGAGGCGAGAUUAAGGAGAGAUCCACAGAAGAAAGGGGACAACUGGUCGGGCCAAGAGUCGGGAAAAGAGUGAGGCUGUGAGAACGUUCUGGAAGGGGAGGGUAUAUAUACGUAGGCACAGUCUACAUCUGCAUCCAGACGUUCAGAACCUGCAGCCAAUGUUCAUGCUUGCAAUAGCCGACUCGGUUUAUUGCCUAAGGUUAGAAUGACCUCCUCAGGAAAGAAGAAGCGGGAGCUCUGCUAGUCUGCUAUAUAUCGCCUAAGAACACUGAGCUCAAGUAUCUUGUAUCAAAUUCAAAUAUGCCGUUCUUACGAUACAGCCGGGGCUCUGCUAUUUAUUGCCAUAAGUGCAAUUCAAGAAUUACCAUGUAUUGUUCUAUUGUAUCGAACAUUUGUUUUUGUUC